rnacentral:rRNA from 1 species
UACGUAGGGCGCAAGCGUUGUCCGGACUUAUUGGGCGUAAAGAGCUCGUAGGCGGUUUGUCGCGUCUGCUGUGAAAACGCGAGGCUUAACCUCGCGCCUGCAGUGGGUACGGGCAGACUAGAGUGCGGUAGGGGAGACUGGAAUUCCUGGUGUAGCGGUGGAAUGCGCAGAUAUCAGGAGGAACACCGGUGGCGAAGGCGGGUCUCUGGGCCGUUACUGACGCUGAGGAGCGAAAGCAUGGGUAGCGAACAGG